rnacentral:tRNA from 1 species
GGUGGUGUAGCUCAGUGGUGGAGCACAUGCAUGGUUAGCAUGUGUAAGGCCCUGGGUUCAAUCCCCAACAUCAGUA